GGACACAGCAGCAACGUUUAAAGGUUGUUGUCUUUGAGUUUGAGCAGAAGCGAUGACGUUGACACCAACAGUUCCCUGCUUGCAGCAGCUGCUGCUUCUCUCAUGGCCUCUCCCGAUAUGGAUCCUCUGACACCUAAUGCUGCAGGUAACCACAACCUCCUGUACCCAGAUCUGCCCCCCUCCCUGUCCCUGCCUCGAGGACAGCUGUAGGACGUGACUAACUCUGGAGAAUUUACUCCAGGGGCACAACUCCACAGCCAUGAAAUGGGAAAGAUGCCAAGUCUGCCCACCCCACCUUCCAGGAGAAAGAAAACUGUCAAGAUUCUCAGAGUAUUUUUCCCUUCACUGAACAUAACAUGGGCUCAUCCGCUGGGAAAGCACAUAUUUCCAGAAGCCUUGUGAGUGGUGGGGCUGUUGAAGUUCUGCUGCACGCGCUGCAGCUCCUGCUUUGCACGGGCAGCGAAUGCACCAAAGCACGGAGGGGCUGUGCGGGCGCUGGGAGCUCUCCAGGUGAGGGGCAGAAAGCUCCUGCAUUGAAGAAGGCUCAGUGCUUGUGUUUCCAGCUCAGAGCUAGAUGCAGCCUUUCCCCCGAGUUCCCCAUUCCUUUGGAACAUCGCAGAACGGCGUUGGGAAGGACCUUAAAGAUCGCAAUUCCAAUCCCCCUGCUGUGGGCAGGGACACCUACUAGAUCAGGAUGCCGUAAGCCCCAGGGAAGGGCUCGCUCGCCCUGCAAAGCGGCUCCGCAGCAGAAAAUCCCCCCCGAGGCUGGGAAUCCCUGCAGCCCCGGGAAGAGCUCUGCCAGCGGUGCGCGCUCCGCGGCCCCCGCACAGCUUGUGCUCUGCCAGCUCCGGCUCGUCACGGCAACCUCGAGCACCGGCAAGGCUUUUCCCUCCCCGCAGUGCUGCUGGAAGGAAAACGGGGCAUGUGAAAGUCGGCUGGGACUUCCAACCCCCGGAGCCCAAGGACAGCGAGCAGAGCAGAAAGGCCACGGAACCGCAGGAAGAGCUCUGGAGUGGGAGAGGCUCCAGCACGGGGAGGGAAAAGCCCAGCAGUGUGGCACGGGAGAGCGCAGACAUAGCUGGCAGCAGAAGGAAGUGUGUGAAUAGUUCUGACCAGCUCCCCUCGAAUACCUCAUCCAGUGUUUCCUCCCUACGAUCUGUGCAAUGGUAAUUGUUAACAGAGCCACGGGGAAAGCUCAGUGACAACCCAAGUUCUCCCCUGUCUGCUUAUGGCUGGAUGACAGAAAACACAAAGCCAUCCUCUCCACUUGCCAUCUCUUUACCAUGGUGUAGCUCCUAAAGCUUCUGUGACUCAGAGGAAUGAGUGCUGGCAUCAGCAGCCAGAGGCAAGGCACAGCUCUCACUCCUCCAGCACAGAUCCUUGGUGGUCUCAAAGCAAUGGAGUCCCUUGGAGAUUUCUCAAAUCUUGUGGACAGAACUUCCCAAGGAAGCUCCUCACCCUCACAGCCACAGCAGCAGCCCACGGCUUCCUGCCAUCUGCUGCUUCCCAGAAAUCCUUCUGUGAAAUUAGUGAACAUUAAAUAUGCCACUGCCUUGCAAAGCCCCACAGCUGAUGAUUACUGUGCUCCUGGCUGGGACAGUGUCUAAUAAAUUCAGCUCAUGGAAACUGAAGUGCAGCCUGCCCUUGCCUGAAACCACGAUGCUCUAUUUAUCCAUAGAUUUGGAGUGCUUCUGUGUGGACUCCUUUGACAACCAAUGAUAAAAUAAAACCAAAUACUGGUGAAAAAUGUUUCUUAAUUCAAUUCUGUGCUGCCUCUAUUUGAAGAGUCCAAGGAAGGCUCCAGUGAAGAUUUUACCAGGAUAAAGAAAAAAUGUGUCUGUACAACGGGACUCUGUUUUUCCACUUAAAACAGCCACCACGUGCUGGCAGAAGGCUGAGAGAUGUUGGGAAUAGAAAGUAAUGUAUUUAAGCCAAGGAAGCUUACAGCAUGGGCAUGGAAUGGUAAAGCAAAGACUCCUCAGUUUGACUUUUUUGGUGUUUGUUUUUCCUCUUUUGGGAAAAGAAGAGAAGCAGCAGCUGGGUCAGCCAAGGAGCUGCUGAGAGCUCAGCUGGUUGUUCCUCCAGUGCAGCAGCACACAGCAGCUCCCUGCAUGUCUCAGGACUGCCCUGCUGGUGCUAAUUCCAGGGUAGGAACAAAGAGCUGCCAUUCCCUUAGCACAGGAUGUGAGAGCCUGUCUGUGUGACCCCACAGGGGCUGAAACGCUUCUCACGUUCCAAGGACAAGCUCUGCCAGGGAAAAGCAGGAACCAGCCAACACACAGCAAAGAGAAUUUUCUACAUUAACUGAUUUCUACAAUUCUUUAGAAUUCUGGUACAAGUUUGUCAAGGCUUAUCUGGUUUUAGAGGCAAUUUCAAACAGAUUAGACCAGGUGCUCAGAACUGGGACCGUCAGACUGAGCCAUGGACAAUGCUGUGCUCACGGCCUCGGUUACAACUCCUCACCCCUAACAUGGAAACACAUCAGCCAGGAUGCAGCCUAUGAAAAGUAAAUGCAGAAAUGAGAAAUAAGGUUGCCUCCCACCCCUGCAACUUGCAGGACUGCCAAGCUUUUUCACUAGAAAUGCCCCUAGAAGCACAAGUCCCCAGGUUCUCUUAUACUCCAUCUCAAUCUGAUCAAAUACCUGUGGAAAUCAACAGCAAUAUUUUUGCUGACUCCAAACAGUGGGCAGCACUCUGUGAUAAAACAGUACUUUAAGCACCUAUUUGCUCCAUUCCAUCUAAUACACUAGCUCAGAACUUAUUGCCUAUUUAUUCCAAGUCGCUGAAGAAGUCUGUGACUGUGCUGUGCUGAUGAACACUCCUGUAAAUGACAGUGUUCUGCACAAAUACAGAUGCCACACAAGACACCGCAUCCGAAGCUGUUUCCUGGGUCGCUUCCCCAGCACUGCCUAUGCAGAAAGUGGUGAAGGAAAAAUACUACCCGUGUCCAAAAAUCAAACUCCAAAUCCUGUGAAAAGAAAUUUGCUGCAUUUGCAGAAGUUUGAGAAGUUCUUGUGCACUUUAAGAGCUGCUGUGAAGAGGUGUCACAGUUCUGGCUGUGCGCUUCCACCACCGUAGCAAAAGGGCUUGGGGGAAACAAGAGCCUGCUCCUCUCCUGGAAACAGCAACUGUGUGAAAUCAGGCUCUGCCAGAAUAACUGCCAUGGUAAGUCUUGGGUGUCCAUGACAGCCACUGGCUGACAGGUGAGAUCAUGAAAUGAGAGACCCAAAAUAGGUCUAUAGGCUACACUUAAGCAUUUGUCCCCCUGAGCCUGCUCCAUGCUUGAGGCAUUAUCCCCCACAAACACUGCUCCUCUGUGUGACCCCUUGAAGUGACAGCAGCCUGUGCACAACAAGAAAGGGACAAUUGUUUCUCCAUUUCUUCUGCUGGCCCUUGUGCCAGCACACAAACCAAAUCCUCAGGGACCUGGCACAUGCUACAGCCAACACACAACUGCAGAACAACUAUUCAACUAUGUCCAAGGAAGUGAGUGCUGGGCAGUGCUCAUCUCCCUGUUGCUGUGUGCACAGGAAUAGGAUUUCUACUGCCAAAUUGGAUGGAUGCUGUUCCCCAAAGCCUUGGCUCCGUGCCUCCAGUGAGCCUGCCAGCAGGCUAAGGCAGGAUCCAGCAGAGCAGGGAGCUCUAUCAUCACCUGCACGUCUCCAGCACACUCAGGCAACGUGGAAAAUUUUUUAUGUUUGUGGCACUAAUAACCAGAACUAUGUGGCUGAUUGACUAGAAGCUGUAUUACAGAGCCUCCUGCUUCCAAAACCUCAACUCAAGCCUUGAGACAAGCCACGAGGUCACUUCUCUCAGAUUUUUUGCUAAUUGGGCAGUCUGCAUGCAUCCUCACCAAACAGACACAGAACGACAGCAAUUUCCAUGGCUAAUACAAAAUAACUUAACCAUGAAAUAAGCAGAGGUGCAGCUGGAAAAAUUUCUUUUCCACUUCUGUCCAUCCCAGCAUUCUGGUUUACCUCUAACACUCAUUAAUGUGCUUGACAUAUUGGAAAAAAUAAAGUCCAGCUUUCAGAAGGGAGGUUUCUUACAACAAAUUCUCAAAUUUUACCCUCUCAAAAGGAAGACUUAGUCCUAAUAAAUAACACCAUGAAUUGCACUGCACUUCAGAAAAUGCUAAGAGAGCUGUGGAUCUUACAAGUCUAAGUCAGCAAUACAUACCAUGGAUAUUUGUUCGUAUGCAAGGCAUUUAGACAUCUAUUAACUGAAAGAUAAAAGCUUUUUUUCAUAUGUAUUCUUUCCCCCUGCAGCUGCUGGAACAAAUAUUUCUACAGCCUCCCAUCUGCCAGCUCCUCUAUCUCUAAAAAUCAGCAAGGUUAACAGAAACCUGCUACUUGCAGCUAUUGAACAUGACCUGGCUCAGCUCAGGAACUGCUCCUGUGUGGGCUGAGCACUUGUGGAAGUCCCGAGCAGAGGUGGGCUGAAGGUGAACAGGCUCUGAUCCCAGUGGAAUUUCUGUGCCUUUGGCUGUGGUGGAUGCUCCAGAGGGGCUGGAGCUGUGACCCCAGGGCACAGUCCAUGGCUGCCAAAGGCCCCAGUGAGGAUGUGGAGGGAUGUGUCCUGUUCACCAGCAGGAAGCUACUCCCCAAAUCCUGGUGACUUGGUGCAGUCUGAACAUACACCUGUGUAACAGCACCACUGAUCCCUCCCUUCUGAAGUCCAAUGGGAUUCUCACUCCAGCUCUGCCAGACUUUGCUAUUGCCACUCUCAACCCUGCCAAAAAAUUCAGCUCACAUGGGAGGGGAAUUGGUCCCACUAUGAAGAACAUAAAAACCUCUAAUUAAAUACCACACAGCUCUGAAGGAGUGAAGGCAAAGGAAGCAUUCAUAAUGCAUGUGUGACAGGAGACAGCGCUGCCUCGGAGGGGCUCUGCAUUAUUCCAAGGAGAGCUCCCUGCACAGCUGUUCUGUGUGUGGAAACCUUGGGGACGAGCUUCUCGAGCACUGGCUUUCCUCACAGCAAAAGAUGGAGAAUAACCAAACACUCACCUGCAGCACUUGUUCCACAUCUCCUGGGUGUGGCAGGGGAGCCCAGCCUGGCUGUUGGAGAGGCAGGGUGUGGAUGGCAGUGCUCUGCCGCCUACAGAAGCUGUCUGGCAGCAGCUCCGAGCAGAAGCACAGUGGCUCCAGGGCAGGACAAAGGUUGUCACACCCACCUGGGUUUCCAGGACUCCCCAGGGCAAUGGAUGGCACAGGUUCACCAGCUCUGAGUGGGAGCACAGCAGAACCAGGUGGGCAUUCACCCCUGGCACAGCAGAACCUUGGAGCAAGGGAGGGUUUCCUCCUUCACAGACCAAGGCCAAGCUCGCUGCACAUCCUGGACAGGUUUAUGGAGGGCACUCAGCAUCCUCAGCCUGCUGGAGCUGCCCACCACACCACUGCUGCCAAGUGCCCAGCAGAGUAGAAUUCCAUUGGGAAGUGUGAUGUUGGGCUGAGCGCCUACCUGGGGUCACAGCCUUCCAGCCCUGCCAGCUGAACAGUGGACAAAAUGACUGCUCUGGCUUUCCUCCUCCUCUCUCCAGUCACCUGCACAGCUUGGAACAACAAACUCUUGCAAACAAAACUUGCCCUAUCCAUAAAUACUCAUUGAGGACUAUCACAACUCCAAACUACACUUAGAGCACAGUACUAACUUUUCCAGAGGGGUGAGAACAAAUGGAAGGAGAAAUCUGGAGCACAUUUACAGAUGGCACAUGUGAAAAACCCCACUGCUCACCCAGUCUGCACUUCUUUGUGAUAUAUGGAAUAGACAUCAUGUCAUAUCAGCAAAUCCUCAUGGGCUGCAUGGUGAACAAAAGAUGUGGAAUGAGCCACCAGAGGAAAUGGAAAACAUUUCAGGACACUGAGGCAUUGAAAGAGUUACAGGCUCAAGUAGAGCUGAACUGGGCCAUUGGUGGUUAUAAUGAAGGCAAAACUGAAAUGAUUGUCCAUCUUGAAGAAGCCUCUUAGAUAUAGAUAUGCAGCACCUCAGUGCAAGUGAUAUUUCUGCCUUGCACUUUGUCCAAACAACUUUGAAAAAGCACUGAGAUUGCUCAAACAUUUCUAGUGUGGGGAAUGCAAACAGAACGUUCUGCAUACCUGCAGGAAUUCUGGCAGAACUAGAAGGCCCAGAAAGGGAUCACAGAAGAGACUCCAAGGGCACAAAUCAACUCAGAAAGGAACAACAGAAAAAGGAGCCACGCAGCAGGACCUGAGCAGGCUGGAAGUGCAGCAGGAAGGGCUGGCAGGCUCUGCCCUAACAGAAUGUAUCACUGCAAACAGCUCCUUCUCACAGAAGCACCUCCAUCACAGCACUAAUGAAUCCAUCCCCUUCCAGAUCCCAUCCAAGCACACAGAACCAGCCCAGCAAUGUUUUGGCAGUGGCUGCCUAGGAGCAAUUCCAUCCAGCUGCCAGCUCUCUCCUGUGGAGGAGAGGUGUUCCCUCCCUGCUGUACAACCAGACAGCUGUGCCAGCCCCUGACUCAACGCUUUUCACAGGAAACCAACACAGAGGGGGGAAAAAAAUCAGGAAGUUUUUCCUCAUCAAAUUUGUAUUUUAAUGUCCUUUUGUCUUGAUCUGUUUUAUAUACAAAAAGGAUCACGACAGUGCAUGCUGUGAGCUGUCUAAGCCUUUGAGGAGUAUCUGUGCACAUAAGUUUAAGAGCAGGUAACACUUAAAUGCAAACAGACCCUGGAGCUUCCUUCAUCAUCCCUGCUCUUUACUCUCAUUGCUUACAAGGAUUUAUUGGACUUAAAGAAAAAGCAACCCUGAAGGCUUGAGAGAUGCAGCCAUAAAGCCUCUUAAAGGGGCUGUAUUUGCUCACUAACCAUUGUAAGGGAACAGAAUACCAACACCCAACAAGGCACUAAGCAUCAGCACACUCCACGUGUGUGUUCUUGGGGAGAUCUUUCCUUCCAGUAUCUGGAGAAUGUCACCCAUACUACAGGUGCUACUCACCCCAGCUCCAUGCUGGGUUCCAAAAACAUGGAAGCACAGGCCUGGUUACCUCUGCCAGCACAGCAGCUGGGCAACACUACCCAAGGAUAUUCAUCCUCAUGUUGGAGGAUAUUCAUCUUCCAACAUCCCUUCCAAACCCACCCCCAAAGGCCAGAACAGCCACUUCUUACACAUUCCCCUGAGAAAUUUUAUCCCCCAAGUUACACUAGAUAUUUUUAAAA